UACGGAGGGUGCGAGCGUUGUCCGGAAUCACUGGGCGUAAAGGGCGCGUAGGCGGCAGGCCAAGCGUGCGGUGAAAGUCCGGGGCUCAGCCCCGGAUCUGCCGUGCGGACUGGUUUGCUAGAGCACUGUAGAGGCGAGUGGAAUUCCACGUGUAGCAGUGAAAUGCGUAGAGAUGUGGAGGAAUACCGAUGGCGAAGGCAGCCCCCUGGGAUAACACUGACGCUCAUGCACGAAAGCGUGGGGAGCAAACAGG
rnacentral:rRNA from 1 species